CCUACGGGAGGCAGCAGUGGGGAAUAUUGCACAAUGGGGGAAACCCUGAUGCAGCGACGCCGCGUGAGUGAAGAAGUAUUUCGGUAUGUAAAGCUCUAUCAGCAGGGAAGAAAAUGACGGUACCUGCUUAAGAAGCCCCGGAUAACUACGUGCCAGCAGCCGCGGUAAUAUGGAGGGGGCAAGCGAUAUCUGGAUUUACUGGGUGGAAAGUGAGCGUAGACGGCAGCACAAGUCUGGAGUGAAAUGCCGGGGCUGAACACCGGAACUGCAUGGGAAACUGUGCAGCUAGAGGGCAGGAGAGGAAAGUGGAAUUCCUAGUGGAGCGGUGAAAUGCGUAGAUAUUAGGAGGAACACCAGUGGCGAAGGCGGCGUACUGGACUGUAACUGACGUUGAGGCUCGAAAGCGUGGGGAGCAAACAGGAUUAGAUACCCCAGUAGUC
rnacentral:rRNA from 1 species